rnacentral:rRNA from 1 species
CGGAGACGAGCAACAGGGAUUGCCCCAGUAACGGCGAGUGAAGCGGCAACAGCUCAAAUUUGAAAUCUGGCCCUCGGGUCCGAGUUGUAAUUUGCAGAGGAUGCUUCGGGCGAGGUGCCUUCCGAGUUCCCUGGAACGGGACGCCAUAGAGGGUGAGAGCCCCGUCUGGUCGGACACCGAGCCCGUGUGAAGCUCCUUCGAAGAGUCGAGUAGUUUGGGAAUGCUGCUCAAAAUGGGAGGUAUAUGUCUUCUAAAGCUAAAUAUUGGCCAGAGACCGAUAGCGCACAAGUAGAGUGAUCGAAAGAUGAAAAGCACUUUGAAAAGAGGGUUAAAAAGUACGUGAAAUUGUUGAAAGGGAAGCGCCCAUGACCAGACUUGGGCCCGGUGAAUCAUCCGGCGUUCUCGCCGGUGCACUUUGCCGGGCACAGGCCAGCAUCAGUCUGGCGCGGGGGAUAAAGGCUUCGGGAAUGUGGCUCCCUCGGGAGUGUUAUAGCCCGUUGCGCAAUACCCUGCGCCGGACUGAGGUACGCGCAUCGCAAGGAUGCUGGCGUAAUGGUCAUCAGCGACCCGUCUUGAAACACGGACCAAGGAGUCGUCUUCGUAUGCGAGUGUUCGGGUGUCAAACCCCUACGCGGAAUGAAAGUGAACGCAGGUGAGAGCUUCGGCGCAUCAUCGACCGAUCCUGAUGUUCUCGGAUGGAUUUGAGUAAGAGCAUACGGGGCCGGACCCGAAAGAAGGUGAACUAUGCCUGUAUAGGGUGAAGCCAGAGGAAACUCUGGUGGAAGCUCGCAGCGGUUCUGACGUGCGAAUCGAUCGUCCAAUAUGGGCAUGGGGGCGAAAGACUAAUCGAACCUUUAUAGCUGGUUCCAAUAUUCCCCCCCCCCAGAAAAGAUAAAAAAAAUUUCAAGGGAAAA